AAAGUCGUAACAAGGUUUCCGUAGGUGAACCUGCGGAAGGAUCAUUAUCGAAAUCUGCCGGAAAAGCGUGGAGGCAGAGAAGACGAGCAGGCGAAGUUUGACGGAGGUUGUCGCUGGCCCCGCUCGGGGCAUGUGCACGCCGGUACGUCCUAGUCCCUGUUCUCUUUUCUUCUUUGCGUGGACUCGGUUUUUCAAACACACCUGUGCACCCGUUGUAGGCUUUCUCGAGAGGGAAAUGCCUAUGUCUUUCAUAAACUCUUUUGUAUGUCUAUAGAAUGUCUAUGUUUGACGUCGUCGUUCGUUCGGCGACGGUAAACGAAACUUUGAACAACUUUCAGCAAUGGAUCUCUUGGCUCUC
rnacentral:misc_RNA from 1 species